rnacentral:rRNA from 1 species
AGAGUUUGAUCAUGGCUCAGAUUGAACGCUGGCGGCAUGCCUAACACAUGCAAGUCGAACGGCAGCACAAAGGAGCUUGCUCCUUGGGUGGCGAGUGGCGGACGGGUGAGUAAUGCAUCGGGACCUACCCAGACGUGGGGGAUAACGUAGGGAAACUUACGCUAAUACCGCAUACGUCCUACGGGAGAAAGCGGGGGAUCUUCGGACCUCGCGCGGUUGGACGGACCGAUGUGCGAUUAGCUAGUUGGUAGGGUAAUGGCCUACCAAGGCGACGAUCGCUAGCUGGUCUGAGAGGAUGAUCAGCCACACUGGGACUGAGACACGGCCCAGACUCCUACGGGAGGCAGCAGUGGGGAAUAUUGGACAAUGGGCGCAAGCCUGAUCCAGCAAUGCCGCGUGUGUGAAGAAGGCCUUCGGGUUGUAAAGCACUUUUAUCAGGAGCGAAAUACCACGGGUUAAUACCCUAUGGGGCUGACGGUACCUGAGGAAUAAGCACCGGCUAACUUCGUGCCAGCAGCCGCGGUAAUACGAAGGGUGCAAGCGUUAAUCGGAAUUACUGGGCGUAAAGGGUGCGUAGGCGGUUGUUUAAGUCUGCCGUGAAAUCCCCGG